CCUACGGGAGGCUGCAGUCGAGAAUAUUCCUCAAUGGGCGAAAGCCUGAAGGAGCGACGCCGCGUGCAGGAUGAAGGGCUUCGGCUCGUAAACUGCUUUUUUCAGGGAAGAACAUUGACGGUACCUGAAGAAUAAGAGGUUGCUAACUCUGUGCCAGCAGCAGCGGUAAUACAGAGACCUCAAGCAUUAUCCGGAUUUACUGGGCGUAAAGGGUCCGCAGGUGGUCAUGUGCGUCAACGGUAAAAUCUCCGGGCUCAACCCGGAACCUGCAGUUGAUACGGCAUGACUAGAGGUCGGAAGAGGCGAGCGGAAUUACCGGUGUAGUAGUAAUAUGCGUUGAUAUCGGUAAGAACACCAAAUGCGUAGGCAGCUCGCUGGAACGCACCUGACACUCAGGGACGAAAGCGUGGGGAGCGAAAGGGAUUAGAUACCCCAGUAGUC
rnacentral:rRNA from 1 species